rnacentral:rRNA from 1 species
UUAAAUUGAAGAGUUUGAUCAUGGCUCAGAUUGAACGCUGGCGGCAGGCCUAACACAUGCAAGUCGAACGGUAACAGAGAGUAGCUUGCUACUCUGCUGACGAGUGGCGGACGGGUGAGUAAUGUCUGGGGAUCUG